rnacentral:rRNA from 1 species
GACGAACCGUGCGAACGUUGUUCGGAAUUACUGGGCUUAAAGGGCGCGUAGGCGGGCUCGCAAGUCAGGGGUGAAAGCCCACGGCUCAACCGUGGAAGUGCCUUUGAUACUGCGGGCCUUGAGGGAGGUAGGGGCGUGCGGAACUUCCGGUGGAGCGGUGAAAUGCGUAGAUAUCGGAAGGAACACCGGUGGCGAAAGCGGCGCGCUGGACCUCUUCUGACGCUGAGGCGCGAAAGCCAGGGGAGCAAACGGG